GUGGACAUAGUUCAGCUGGUUAGAACGUCGGAUUGUGGUUCCGAAGGUCGUGGGUUCGAAUCCCAUUGUCCACC
rnacentral:tRNA from 1 species